rnacentral:rRNA from 1 species
AGCGGCGGAUGGGUGAGUAACACGUGGGGAACCUGCCCCUAAGUCUGGGAUACCAUUUGGAAACAGGUGCUAAUACCGGAUAAUAAAGCAGAUCGCAUGAUCAGCUUUUGAAAGGCGGCGUAAGCUGUCGCUAAGGGAUGGCCCCGCGGUGCAUUAGCUAGUUGGUAAGGUAACGGCUUACCAAGGCGACGAUGCAUAGCCGAGUUGAGAGACUGAUCGGCCACAUUGGGACUGAGACACGGCCCAAACUCCUACGGGAGGCAGCAGUAGGGAAUCUUCCACAAUGGACGCAAGUCUGAUGGAGCAACGCCGCGUGAGUGAAGAAGGUUUUCGGAUCGUAAAGCUCUGUUGUUGGUGAAGAAGGAUAGAGGUAGUAACUGGCCUUUAUUUGACGGUAAUCAACCAGAAAGUCACGGCUAACUACGUGCCAGCAGCCGCGGUAAUACGUAGGUGGCAAGCGUUGUCCGGAUUUAUUGGGCGUAAAGCGAGCGCAGGCGGAAAAAUAAGUCUAAUGUGAAAGCCCUCGGCUUAACCGAGGAACUGCAUCGGAAACUGUUUUUCUUGAGUGCAGAAGAGGAGAGUGGAACUCCAUGUGUAGCGGUGGAAUGCGUAGAUAUAUGGAAGAACACCAGUGGCGAAAGCGGCUCUCUGGUCUGCAACCGACGCUGAGGCUCGAAAACAUGGGUAGCGAACAGGAUUAGAUACCCUGGUAGUCCAUGCCGUAACGAUGAGUGCUAAGUGU